ACGUACACUCCUACGGGAGGCAGCAGUGGGGAAUUUUGGACAAUGGGCGAAAGCCUGAUCCAGCCAUGCCGCGUGCAGGAUGAAGGCCUUCGGGUUGUAAACUGCUUUUGUACGGAACGAAACGGCCUUUUCUAAUAAAGAGGGCUAAUGACGGUACCGUAAGAAUAAGCACCGGCUAACUACGUGCCAGCAGCCGCGGUAAUACGUAGGGUGCAAGCGUUAAUCGGAAUUACUGGGCGUAAAGCGUGCGCAGGCGGUUAUGUAAGACAGUUGUGAAAUCCCCGGGCUCAACCUGGGAACUGCAUCUGUGACUGCAUAGCUAGAGUACGGUAGAGGGGGAUGGAAUUCCGCGUGUAGCAGUGAAAUGCGUAGAUAUGCGGAGGAACACCGAUGGCGAAGGCAAUCCCCUGGACCUGUACUGACGCUCAUGCACGAAAGCGUGGGGAGCAAACAGGAUUAGAUACCCCUGUAGUCCCA
rnacentral:rRNA from 1 species